rnacentral:snRNA from 1 species
GUGUUCACUUUGACAGCACAUAUACAAAAAUUGGAACUAUACAGAGAAGAUUAGCAUGGCCCCUGUGCAGGACGACAUACAAAUUUGUGAAGCAUUCCACAUUUUU